UACUCAAACUGAUUAUUAAAAUAGUUGGCGAUUAAUUAAAUAGUUGACAACUAAACGAUUGAUCGAUUAAUUGUUGCAGCUCUACUGUUGUUUCCUUCUCCUUUAUACUAAAACUGGCAAUCCUUAUCAGCAUUUAUGGUUAUAAAUUACACCUUGAACAGACUCCUCCCAGCCAGAAGCUUUCGUCUUUGCCAGCUGAUGUAUAGUGAUGCUGUUUCUUCAUCGCUUCCCUUCCCUAUUCAAACCUUAGUCAGCUCAGUGGAGGCAUCAGUUGAAUCUCCAACACUAACAGAGUCACAUCUAGUGAGCUGAUGUGAGAUCACAGCGAAUUACAUCUGGAAAACUGUCAUAUGCAGUCCGACAUGUCAUGUAAAGGGCUUUGAGUAGUUUUAUUUUGAAUCAAAAUGAUCCGCUUUCUCCUCUUCUGUUGUCUGGCAGGUGUUAGUCUGGGUCUAGAUGUCCGUCAGUCUCCCUCUGAACUCAUCACAACACCUGGAGACAAAGUGCAGAUUUUCUGCAGCCAUGAUAAAACUGACUACAGGGUGAUACUCUGGUACCAGCGGUCACCUGGAGACACAGCUAUGAAACUCAUUGGAUACUUGUACAAUACAGAUGUCACAAAGGAAGAGCCAUAUAAAGAGGAUUUUGAUAUGUCUGGAGAUUUGACAGGAAGUACAGCAAAGAAUGGCUCUCUUAUAGUCAACCUUGUAAAACAAGAGCACGGUGCAGUUUACUACUGUGCAGCCAGAGAAGCACGCUGACAAAAACCCCCUCUGAACUUUACAAAAACUCUGCACCAUCUUUUGUCAUCAGUGGUUUAUAAUAAGACCUGGAAUAAACUGCUCCCAGACACCUGCUAUUGUGGUUGUACUUUGGUUUGAUGCAAUCACAUCAUCAUUAGCUAAUACAACUAGAGUUAUUCUGAUA